rnacentral:rRNA from 1 species
UUCCGUAGGGGGACCUGCGGAAGGAUCAUU